GUAACACGUGAGUGACCUGCCUUUUAGACUGGAACAACUUACCGAAAGGUGAGCUAAUGCCGGAUGAGUUAUAUAAGUGCAUGUUUAUAUAGGAAAAGUUGGGGAGACCUGACGCUGAAAGAUGGACUCGCGUCCCAUUAGCUAGUUGGUAGGGUAAUGGCCUACCAAGGCGACGAUGGGUAGCCGGCCUGAGAGGGUGGCCGGCCACACUGGGACUGAGACACGGCCCAGACUCCUACGGGAGGCAGCAGUGGGGAAUUUUGCGCAAUGCUCGUAAGAGUGACGCAGCGACGCCGCGUGAAUGACGAAGGCCUUCGGGUCGUAAAGUUCUUUCGACAGGGAAGAAAAUGCCUAUAAGUAACUGUGUAUGUAUUGACGGUACCUGUAUAAGCAGCCCCGGCUAACUCCGUGCCAGCAGCCGCGGUAAUACGGAGGGGGCGAGCGUUGUUCGGAGUGACUGGGCGUAAAGAGCACGUAGGCGGUGUUGUAAGUCAUUAGUCAAAGACUAGAGCUCAACUUUAGUAAGGCUAGUGAUACUAUAAUACUAGAGUAUCAGAGAGGAUUGCAGAAUUCCUGGUGUAGCGGUGAAAUGCGUAGAUAUCAGGAGGAAUACCGUUAGCGAAGGCGGCAAUCUGGCUGGAAACUGACGCUGAGGUGCGAAAGCGUGGGUAGCAAACAGGAUUAGAUACCCUGGUAGU
rnacentral:rRNA from 1 species